AACGAACGCUGGCGGCAGGCUUAACACAUGCAAGUCGAGCGCCCCGCAUGGGGAGCGGCAGACGGGUGAGUAACGCGUGGGAAUCUACCGUGCCCUACGGAAUAGCUCCGGGAAACUGGACUUAAUACCGUAUACGCCCUUUGGGGGUAGGGUCUAUCGGGGUAUGAUGAGCCCGCGUUGGCUUAGCUAGUUGGAGGGCUAAAGGCCUACCAAGGCGACGAUCCAUAGCUGGUCUGAGAGGAUGAGCAGCCACAUUGGGACUGGGACAAGGCCGAAACUCCUACGGGUGGCAGCAGUGGGGAAUAUUGGACGAUGGGAGAAAGCCUGAGCCAGCCAUGCCGCGUGGGUGAUGAAGGCCCUAGGGUUGUAAAGCGCUUUCACCGGUGAAGAUAAUGACGGUGACCGGAGAAGAAGCCCCGGCUAACUUCGUGCCAGCCGCCGCGGUAA
rnacentral:rRNA from 1 species